rnacentral:lncRNA from 1 species
CUAGGACCAAGGUCCUCCUGUGCCCCUUCCUCAGCAAGCAGGGCAUCCAAGCCCCACCGAGCCCUAGUCUGGGUCCGGCCGCCUGACCUCCCCCACCCCCACGCGCCUCGGCCUCACACCCGCCCGCCCGCCCCUUCCCCCGCCGCGAGCCCUCCCCGCCGGUCUCCCGCGCUGGGACGGGGACGCCUGCGGACAGGACCCUCGCGGCUCCCCGGGGUGCCCACGGCGCCCGGCACAGGGCGGGGACGUCAGCGCGGGCAGGAAUGCUUGUCCCCGGGCCCUUCACCCCCCGCCCUGGCUCCGCUCCCAGGUGACCGCCCGCGAGCGCGAGCGCGAGCGCGAGGGAGUGUCCUGCCCGCGGCGUCCGUGGUUUCCGAGGAGCUCGGGGCCGGGAGCGGCAGGUGCGGGGAGGGCGCGGAGGGCGCGGGUUUGCGCCAGCGGGGGCCCCGCCCCGUGGAGGCCCCGCCCCGUGGAGGCCCCGCCCCGUGGAGGCCCCGCCCCGUGGAGGCCCCGCCCCGUGGAGGCCCCGCCCCGUGGAGGCCCCGCCCCCGUGGAGGCCCCGCCCCGUGGAGGCCCCGCCCCGUGGAGGCCCCGCCCUCUAGAGGCCCCGCCCCGUGGAGGCCCCGCCCCCCGGAGGCCCCGCCCUCUUCCCCGCCCUGUGGCGGCCCCGCGCCCCGGGAGCAUCGAAGGGCUCCGCGGCCUCGGACGACCCAGGCGGGCGGGCUGCAGGGCCUGGCCUCGGUGCCCUCCCCGGGGCCCGACCUGGACGUCCCUCCCCAGCCCGCUUCCUUGCCGCGCCCGCCGGCCGACCCGCUCGGGCCUAGGGUCUCACCCGGGGACAAUGGCAGGGGCGGAGCUGCAGCGGACGUGCGGACAAUGGGCCCCCGGCCACCCGGCCGACCCGCGUCCGGCCUUUCUCGGCCUGGGCGGGGCCGCGGGGCGAGGGGGACGCGGAGGUGGCGCUGCUUCGGGCCGCGAGCCACAGCCCCUCCCCCCGGGACCCUCUAUACCCCCCCCCGUGCCCUCCCCCGGGACCCUCUACACCCCCCCCGUGCCCUCCCCCGGGACCCUCCCAUGGCGCCUGUCCUGGAGGCCAGGGGUCCUCCCCAACCCACCUCUGCCCUCAGCGCUGCCCACCUGCAGGCCUGGCGAGGGGAGCAGGGGUUUUCAAACAUCCCCCCCACCCCCGUUUUUUUUUUAUUUUUUUUUAAUUAA